rnacentral:rRNA from 1 species
UACGUAGGGUGCAAGCGUUGUCCGGAAUUAUUGGGCGUAAAGAGCUCGUAGGCGGUCUGUCGCGUCUGCUGUGAAAACUCGGGGCUUAACCCCGGGCCUGCAGUGGGUACGGGCAGACUAGAGUGCGGUAGGGGAGACUGGAAUUCCUGGUGUAGCGGUGAAAUGCGCAGAUAUCAGGAGGAACACCGGUGGCGAAGGCGGAUCUCUGGGCCUUGCCUGACGCUGAGGCGCGAAAGCUAGGGGAGCGAACAGG